rnacentral:rRNA from 1 species
UGCCAGCCCCCGCGGUAACACGGGGCGCGCAAGCGUUAUUAGGAAUUAUUGGGCGUAAAGGGUGCGUAGGCGGGCUAUUAAGUCUGAUGUGAAAGCCCACGGCUUAACCGUGGAGAGUCAUUGGAUACUGAUAGCCUUGAAUCACAGAGGGGCUAGUGGAAUUCCAGGUGUAGCGGUGAAAUGCGUAGAUAUCUGGAGGAACAUCGGUGGCGAAGGCGACUGACUGGACUGGUACUGACGCUGAGGUGCGAAAGUGUGGGGAGCAAACAGGAUUAGAUA